UACGUAGGGUGCGAGCGUUAAUCGGAAUUACUGGGCGUAAAGCGUGCGUAGGCGGUCCCGCAAGUCCGCUGUGAAAGCCCCGGGCUUAACCUGGGAAUUGCAGUGGAAACUAUGGGACUUGAAUCCGGCAGAGGGGGGUGGAAUGCCACGUGUAGCAGUGAAAUGCGUAGAGAUGUGGCGGAACACCGAUGGCGAAGGCAGCCCCUGGGCCGAGAUUGACGCUCAGGCACGAAAGCGUGGGGAGCAAACAGG
rnacentral:rRNA from 1 species